rnacentral:lncRNA from 1 species
CUUGCUCCAAUCUUAGAAAGGUUAGUGACACGAAUACCCGAAGGAAUAUAUUUUUUUUACAAUUAUCCUUAUAUACUCAAUACACAAGGUAAUGUUGCAAAUAAUUAAAGGCUCAUGUUACGAUCUGAUCAAUGCUUAUUUUAAGACACUAAGCUUUUCCUUGGGAAACCAUCAGUUUAUGUUGGCGAAGUGGUUUCCCCUCCGAUGCCAACCUAUAUCUAGAUCAACUCAAUGAGAUCUGCAAUAUUUAUUAUAGACAUAUGCAUCGACAACUGCCCUUUUAAAGUUUUUAUAAAUAGAAAGGAAGAGGGGGUUGGAGAUCUCAAGUGUGGUGAUGUCGGAGAGACCAAU